ensembl:lncRNA
CUCGAGUGCACUGAUGGAGCACUCUGCCCUGCUGCAAAGGCAACAGGUGGAACCAAAGCCAAUUGACAUCUCUUUCAGAUGCAUUUAACCAGGGAAAGAUAUUUAUUUCCUGAUUUAGAAAAUGAAAGCUGUAUUUGCUCUAAAUUUUGUCCCCUGACUCGUUCCUUAUAGGUAUGCUGUAAAGCGGAGAUGGCGAAGGAAUGCUGUAGGAGGAUCAGACUUCUUGAAGGGGGAUUUGGAAGAGCAUCUGCAAGCAGGAGUGCAUUUCCCAAGCUUCUGAAGGGACACAACUCUAGCAGUGCCAACCAGGAUGAUUGCUCUGUCUGGGCUGCUGCCACCGACACAACUUCUCCCCUGGUGCCCGUGGGAGCAGCUCUUGGAGGUAACAGCGAUAGGAAGAGAGGUAACGGCCUCAAGUUGCACUGAGGAGGUUCUGGCUGGAUAUCAGGAGUCAUUUCUACUCAGAAUGAUGAGGUAUUGGCACAAGUUGCCCAGGAGGUGGUGGAAUCGCCGUCCCUGGUGAUGUUCAACAACCAUGGAGAUGUGGUACUGUGGGACAUGUUUG